rnacentral:rRNA from 1 species
GCGGCCCCGGGAAUUCGAUUAGAGUUUGAUCAUGCCUCAGGACGAACCCUGGCGCCGUGCCUAAUACAUGCAAGUCGACCGGAGUUUCCGCGGACGCAAGCCUUCGGGUGGAUGUUGCGAAAACUUAGCGGCGGACGGGUGAGUAACACGUGGGCAACCUGCCCGAAAGACCGGGAUAACAUCCGGAAACGGAUGCUAAUACCGGAUAAACGGACCUUUCGCAUGAAGGGUUCGGGGAAAGACGGGGCAACCUGUCACUUUCGGAUGGGCCCGCGGCGCAUUAGCUGGUUGCCGGGGUAACGGCCCACCAAGGCGACGAUGCGUAGCCGACCUGAGAGGGUGAACGGCCACACUGGGACUGAGACACGGCCCAGACUCCUACGGGAGGCAGCAGUAGGGAAUCUYCCGCAAUGGACGAAAGUCUGACGGAGCAACGCCGCGUGAGUGAGCAAGGUCUCCGGAUCGUAAAGCUCUGUUGCCAGGGAAGAAUCCCCUGGGGAGUCACUGCCCCGGGGUUGCCGGUCCCUCCGAAGAAAGCCCCGGCUAACUCCGUGCCAGCAGCCGCGGUAAUCAUCACUAGCGAAUUCGCGG